rnacentral:lncRNA from 1 species
UCAGGACCAAGUUGUUAAAAUAAUUUCCAUGUAUUUUUACAGUUUCAAAAAUUUCUCUUGUUAUUGAUUUCUACUUUUUUUCCAUUGUGGUCAGAAAAGAUACUUAAUGUGAUUUAGAUUUUUACAAAUUUGUUUAGACUUGUUUUGUGACCUAACAUGUAGUCUAUCCUGGAGAAUGUUUUAUGUGCCGAUGGGAAGAAUGUGUAUUCUGUAAUUGUUGGAUAAAAUGUUCUGUAUAUAUCUGUUAGGUCCAUUUGGUCUUUGUUUUCUUUCAGGCCAUCCUCUCCUAUCGUGUAAGAUUUCUACUGAGAAAUCCACUAUUAGUCUGACUGGUUUCUCUUAUGUGUGACUUGAUGCUUUUCUCUUGCUGUUUUUGGAAUUCUCUGUCUUUGGCUUUUGGCAGUUUGACUAUAAAGUGCCUUGGAGAAGACCUUUUUCGGUUAAAUCUAUUUGGGGAUCUUUGAGCUUCCACUAUCUGGAUGUCUGAACCCCUUGUAAGACUUGGGAAGUUUUCAGUGAUUAUUUUAUUAAAUUGGUUUUCGAUGCUUUUCCCCACCUCUUCUUCUGGACCUCCUUCUGUUUCUUUCACCUUACUGGGUUAUUUCAAAUGACUUGUCUUCAGGUUCUGAACUAAUAUCUCCUUAUUGAAUUAUCUCAUUCGGAUUUUGAAUUGUUUUUCUGAUUUCUUUGUAUUAUUUAUCUGUGUUCUCUUGUAUCUCAUUGAGUAUAUUUAAUAUUGUUAUUUUAAAUUAUUUGUAGGCAUUUCACACAUUUCUUUUACAUUGGAAUCUCUUGCUGGAUAAUUAUCACAUUACUUCGAAGUUGUCAUGUUUCCUUGCUUUUUCAUGUUUUUUGUGUCCUUAUGUUGAUAUCUGCACAUCUGCUGUAACAGUUGCC